rnacentral:rRNA from 1 species
AUGAAAGGCAUCUUUUGGAAUUGUAGGGGGGCAGGUAAGAAAGGCAUGUCUACCUGCCUCACGGAUAUGAUUUGUGCCAAUGAGGUAGGUUUUAUUGGUUUACAAGAAACUAUGAAGGGAUCUUAUAAACAGAAGAUAGACCCAUACCAGAAAUUCCAUUGGGAAUGGGUUCCCUCGAGGGGGAAAUCGGGAGGUAUUCUUUGUGGCCUCAAUAAAUAUAAAUUUGAUGUUCUCGGCUCUAAAUAG